rnacentral:tRNA from 1 species
UUCAGUUAUUAUAGAUUGUAUACUUGACUUCCAAUCAAGGGGCCCAAGAUUAGUUGGACUGAAAACU